GACGAACGCUGGCGGCGCGCUUAACACAUGCAAGUCGAGCGAGAACCAGGGCUUCGGCCCUGGGGACAGCGGCGAACGGGUGAGUAACACGUGGGUAACCUGCCCUCGGCACCGGAAUAGCCCGGGGAAACCCGGAUUAAUGCUGGAUAGCCUCACGGACCCUCGGGUCUGUGAGAAAAGGUAGCUUCGGCUUCCGGCUGAGGAUGGGCCCGCGGCCGAUUAGCUUGUUGGUGAGGUAACGGCUCACCAAGGCGACGAUCGGUAGCUGGUCUGAGAGGACGAUCAGCCACACUGGGACUGGGACACGGCCCAGACUCCUACGGGAGGCAGCAGUGGGGAAUCUUGCGCAAUGGGCGAAAGCCUGACGCAGCGACGCCGCGUGCGGGAAGAAGGCCUU
rnacentral:rRNA from 1 species